rnacentral:lncRNA from 1 species
CGACGAAAAAAUAAUCUCUGAGCCUUCUUCGAUUGAAUACCAUAAAUAACGAAUCCACAAAACUUCCCAUAAACAACAAACAAUUGACUUUUUUAAACUCUCCUUAUUGAUAUAAGAGAUGUGAUUUGUGAUUCUGAAUCGGUAAUUUGAAAUAUAAUAUCGCUUCAUGAUUCUCAAAGAUAUUACUCUCCAGCCUAGAAGAUCUUUACUUUGCAACCCAAAAGCUUGACCAAACAACACCAUCUCCCGUAAUCUUCCCAAAUCAUGAUAUCUUAAUAUAUUCAAAAACCAAUUACGGUUGCGCAACCUCUUUCCACACUUAAACACCCACUGAAUCCACUCGUUUCCAUUAUCAAACCAAACACCAACAUUAAAGAUUCCAAUCACCGUGGAGCAAAG